UACGUAGGGGGCAAGCGUUGUCCGGAAUCAUUGGGCGUAAAGCGCGUGUAGGCGGCCCGGUAAGUCCGCUGUGAAAGUCGGGGGCUCAACCCUCGAAUGCCGGUGGAUACUGUCGGGCUAGAGUCCGGGAGAGGAGAGUGGAAUUCCUGGUGUAGCGGUGAAAUGCGCAGAUAUCAGGAAGAACACCCGUGGCGAAAGCGGCUCUCUGGAACGGUACUGACGCUGAGACGCGAAAGCGUGGGGAGCGAACAGG
rnacentral:rRNA from 1 species